rnacentral:rRNA from 1 species
UACGUAGGGUGCGAGCGUUUGUCCGGAAUUACUGGGCGUAAAGAGCUCGUAGGUGGUUUGUCGCGUUGUUCGUGAAAACUCACAGCUUAACUGUGGGCGUGCGGGCGAUACGGGCAGACUGGAGUACUGCAGGGGAGACUAGAAUUCCUGGUGUAGCGGUGGAAUGCGCAGAUAUCAGGAGGAACACCAGUGGCGAAGGCGAGUCCCUGGACAACACCUGACACUGAGGCACGAAAGCUAGGGGGAGCAAACAGG